AGAAGAUCCUGGUCCUUAAAGUAAUCCUUCCAAUAAAAGACAUAGCUGGAGGCAAACUGAGAGGCCACGUUUGUCAUAAAUUUACUUGUCUGUGCUUCAGGAACAUCAAUUCGGCAUCUGUGGGGGAUGGAUUUUAAAGGGAAGAGACCAACCAGAAGAAGGAACAAUAAUUAUGAGACUUCUGACAUACCAGGUAUUCUGGCACAUCUGGACAAUUUGUGAAAACCAGCUAAACUAAAAUUUUGUCAAUAUAGGUGUUUAAUAAAUAUCAAAUG